ACAUUUUUUUCCUCAAUUUCACUUUCCCUCCCCACGAGCCCUAAUUUCUUCUCCCAAUUUCACUUGCCCUCCCACACCCUGAAGUCUGUCAUCCACUUGGACUACUUCUCCUGGAACGAUGAAGAAAGGAACGAUGAACAAGACCUUGUCGCCGUCAACCCAGAUCGAAGAGAGGAAUGGUGAAGAGACCUCAUGGCCUUCAACCUAGAUCGGAGAGAGGAACGAUGAAGAGACCUCAUCGCCUGGAACGAUGAAGAGAGGCUUGAUUCCACACCAUUGAACCCAGAUCGAAGUCAUUCACCGUCCAAGCUCCACCACCGCGAAUCUUCUUGCCGUAAUCAACGGUACUCGACCUUGCUUCGACCUCUUGUUUCCCCUUUUGGGUUUCCUGUUGUUGGGUUUAUCCAAAUUUAGGUUUUCCUAGUGAAGAAGAGGUAAAAAGUUGGUGAUUUGGGUGGAAGAAAAUUUUAGGUUUUCCAAUUUGGAUUUUGGGUCCCUCUCCUCUUUCUGUUUUGUUCAGGUGGUAGAUGGUGGAGUUGCGGUUGAAUCAGCAUUAUCAGUUUAUUGGGAGUACCUUGCUACAACUUUAGGAUCUCGGGAGCAGUUGGUUAUAGCAGAGUUUGUUAAUCAUUCCAAAGUGUGAAGAAGUCUGCUGAUUGGCACUGCAGAGGCACUACCGCCAUGGGCGGAUCUACUUAUGCAAGGGGCAUUCCAGUGGCAACCCCUACUUUCUUUGCUGAUACAAAGGAUCCUAUAGCCUGAGGAAACUUGAAAACCCGUUUCUACUUGGUCUAGUAUUAUAUGCAAGGUUCUUCUAGUUCCUUACUCUGGUCUAUGAUCAAUCUAGAUGACACUGCUAUAUUUUGAGAGAUGACAUUAAAAGAAUAGACUGGUUUUUCCUAAUGCUUCUAAGUUUUAUGCUACAAAUUUGACAUAGCUUUUAGUCAUUGAAAAGGGGGAAUGAAAGAGAAAAUUACAUAUCUUGAGCCAAGAAAAUAUCAAUACGUGCUUAUCUUGUUUAUAUUUUCCCCAGUUGUGCUCUCUCAUUGAUUCAAUUGUACUUGUGUGACAACACAUUGUGUAAACUUUUAGCUUCACAGGUUUCAUUUGAUGUGGUGUUCAUACCUCAAUAUAUGGAAAUAGGUUGAGAUUGGCCACAUGUCAUGUAUUAUUGAUCGUUUUUUAAAAUUUUAGUUCAUUAGUAGUCUGAAAUUGGCCUAAAAGCUGUCAUUUGUCUCAAGAAUAUGGAAGACAAAUUGAGUUAUGGUUCAUGUGAUUGGUUUCACUUUUUAACUUAACCAGUGUCUAUUUGCAAUUUCCUUUGAAGUUAAGUAGUGGCUCCUCAUCUGCAACUUGAAAAAUAUGAAAGAGGAAGGGUGCUGAAGGCUAUAAGGAAGAGAGACUAGAAAAUCUAUAAUCUCACAUAUCCCUUUGGGAAGAAGAAAAGGACGAAGAGAAAGGUGUGAAACUUGACCAGCUGCAACUUCCUUACUUCCUCUUGGUACCUUUUUAACCUUUCAAGGGGACCGUGAGUUUUUCUUCCACUUAAAAUCUGUCAUUACAUAAAGUUCUAUUUAGUUCGACCUUUGCUUACUCUUGUAUUUAUAGAUUUGAAGGUUUUGAAUUGUUGGGCCUAUUGUAGGUGCUUGGCACAGAGGGGUUCCCUUCUUGGCUUGCCAUAACUGUAGUUAAUGUCAAAUUAUGCAUUAACUAGUUUCUUAUCCGCUUGAGUGCCUUGUCUUUUUUACAUGCAUAUGAUUUCAGCUGAACUUAGGAGGACUAAUAUUUGCUUCUACUUGUCACUUGUAAAGUUAUCUACAAAUUGCUUACAUGCUAAGUUCACCUUCAGUAUGACCUUGUUAAUGUAUCAAAAGAAAUCUUUAAGCAUUGUUUGUGUGCUCUGUUCUGGAAUUUAAAUUAAUUUGCUGCAUGUUUUGUGCAAAUUUCUAAAGAUUGAUAACAAGCAAUUGUACAUGAACUGGAUAAGGAACUUGAGGCGCUAUUAUUGUAUGAUCUCUCUCUCUCUCUUUCCCUCACGCGCACAGAUUACAAUCUUCAAAUUUCUUAUGUUUCAGUGGUUUAUUUUCAGCAAAUUAUGGCAGCAGUUGGAUUGGAACAUCAAGACAAGGGAGAACUUUCAUUCAAGAAGUGGUUGAGGCUACCAUUAAUGAGGUACUUUGUAAGUCUACUCAUCAAAUGUAAGUGAGUUCAUUUUGUACAAUCAACUAUUCCCCUUCCCUAAUUUUGGUGCCUGAUUCUGGUUAUUUUGUGAUAAAUUUUUAGAUUGGUGGUUGACUAAGACAAUUUGCAUUUCAUUCCUUAAAGAGGGGAUGUCAUACAAUGUAGAUACCUGCACAGUUAGAAAUCAAAAUAAGUUUGUUGUGCAUUUGCAUGAAUCUGAAUUCCUCCCAUUUCUUAAAAUAUCAGCUCUUGGAGACAUGGAAUUUUAGCCACCAAAUCCUCUGAUUGUUAUUGGAGCAUCAGUCUCAUUCUUAAUAAGAAAUGUCUUAAAUUGGAGAAAAUUGGAGAAAAUUGGAGAAAAUUGGAGAAAACUAGCUCUAGCAAGUAAGAGCCUCCUUGCAUUUCCUUGCUGAUUGUUUUGUUUAAAGAACAUAUGAUUUGUUCCACAUCAGACAUAUGCACUCUGUUGAAGUCAUUGAUGCUGGAUUUCUUGGCCGUCUUUUCAAGGCUGUUUUGAAGCACUGCCUAAGCUACAAAUCCUGGAUAUGAGUGGUAAUGCUGCUUUGAAACUUUGAACUCUUCACUGAUUGUUAUAAACUCUCUUUAUAUCUCUGCUUAUAUGUUUUUAAUUAUCAGGUAGAUAUGACAAAACUUGCUUUCCUUCAAACUAAUUUUGGUGCUUCCUUAGAUGUUUUACUACAUACUCUAGUUCUAAGAUGCUUGAGAUGUAACAUGUAAAUUAAUUUAGUUACUGGAGGUGAUCAAA